GACGAACGCUGGCGGCGUGCUUAACACAUGCAAGUCGAACGGAAAGGCCCUGCUUUUGUGGGGUGCUCGAGUGGCGAACGGGUGAGUAACACGUGAGUAACCUGCCCUUGACUUUGGGAUAACUUCAGGAAACUGGGGCUAAUACCGGAUAGGAGCUCCUGCUGCAUGGUGGGGGUUGGAAAUUUUCGGCGGUUGGGGAUGGACUCGCGGCUUAUCAGCUUGUUGGUGGGGUAGUGGCUUACCAAGGCUUUGACGGGUAGCCGGCCUGAGAGGGUGACCGGCCACAUUGGGACUGAGAUACGGCCCAGACUCCUACGGGAGGCAGCAGUGGGGAAUAUUGCACAGUGGGCGGAAGCCUGAUGCAGCAACGCCGCGUGCGGGAUGACGGCCUUCGGGUUGUAAACCGCUUUCGCCUGUGACGAAGCGUGAGUGACGGUAAUGGGUAAAGAAGCACCGGCUAACUACGUG
rnacentral:rRNA from 1 species